rnacentral:lncRNA from 1 species
GUAACUUGGGAGGCCCUGUACCCAGCUGCUGUUUCUCUGCUUCAAGGGUCUCACUCUGUAAUUCAUGCUGAGCUUGAACUCACUAUGUAGACCAGGCUGGCCUCAAACUCACAGUGAUCCUCCUGUCUCAGCCUCCUGAGUUCUGGGAUUACAGGUGUGAGCCACCACACCCGGCAAAGGUGGGAUAACUUCUAUGGACUUCUCAGGAAGCCCCACAGCUGGGACUUCCAUACCCUCAGAAGUUCCCUUUCAGAAUUUCUCCUCUAGCCUCCCCAUUCCAGGACCUCUUACCCUGCUCUGAGGGGGUUAUAAGCUGAGCAAAUACAGACAUCACAUUCCCCAAAGGACACAUGGGCUUUAUGCGCAAACUCGGCCUUGGGCUGCAGACAGUAUCGACCCCGUGGUCCAGCCAAAGGGAGGAGAUGGUGGGGGGAAAGGGCAAAGGUCUAAAGAGCACCCAUUCUCAGAGCAAAUGCCACUUUUUCCUUGUCCCAGACCUUCCUCUUCGCCCUGUUCUACUUAACAGGCUCUUGCCAGUUCCAGCUGCCCAGCAGAACUCCUGGAGGGAACCUUGGAGGUUGAGGGUAGAGUGAGCCAGAGGUCCUGCCAGGCAGCUCUGAGCAUGCCUCAGCCUCCCACCACAUGUGUGUCCACAGAGUGUCAGCUUACUUGAUGAUUGAUCAUCGAUCUGUCUCAUCUCUUGGAACGAGUACAGAGGGAGGAGGUGAACAGGAAAACUAGUUCUUUAUUAGCCAUGAGACCAUCAAAUGAUGGUUCUGGGAGGAUGGAGGGAGCCUGAGGAAAAAGAGGAGGCAGUCUGGGGGAGGAAGAGGUGUGAAACAUGAGGUGGAUACAAUAUCUCAGUCCUGAGGGCUCCACGUGAAAAGAAAGUGGAGAGUUCAGGCAGUCUCUGUGUUGUCUGGGGUGUCAGUUUGGGCUCUGGCAGGACAUAGGGGAGCCCUCAGCUAUCUGUCUGCUUCAUCAAGAGAACUCAGUGAAGCAACUAUUUACAAAGGAUAUAGACAGAGCUAAGGGCAACAAUAAAGGAUGUUGAAGCACUAGGGACUGGGAAAGGGGGAAGCCAUUAGGACCCUCUAGUGUUGAAACAGUGUCUCAGAACCUAGGCAGAGCUAGAGCUAUGCAAGAGGGGGAGGCAGACAGGAGCUAUAGGGACACAGCACAGCCACAGUUGCACAGAAGCAUGGCACAUGGGCAAGGGGGCAGGAAGAAGAUACACUGUAUCUUCUUAUCCUUUUGUCUUCUGCUUGGGUCACUCCUUAGUCAAAUUCAGCAGGAAUCCAGGGUGGGGAAGCUCAGGUGAUAUGGUUCAGGUGAAUCAGGUGCCCCAAAGGCACACAGCAAGGCAGAGAAGGACAAGGGAUGGAUGAGGAAGAGCAGAUGAGAAGGAAAGGACCUCAAGACAUAGAGGCAAAUGAGCAUCAUGUUGGAGAACAGUAAUUUAAUGUUUGAUGAAUCCAAGGGAGAGACUCUGGAGGGUCAGAAAGAUGAAGGGAGGGUUGAAUCAACUCAUCCUGGAUUGGGGCCAUCAAGUAGAAAGGGCAGGGAGACAUAGUAGAUGAUGGGAUUGAUUAAGGGUGAAUUAAGGGUGUCUUUGCCUGAGAACCAGAUGGCAUUGCAGAUGGCAUCACUAUGUGCCUGAGGCGGGAAGGGUUUGAGCAUGAAGAGUAUGGUGGGUAGACUAUGCUCUGGGACAGAGGUGGGUGGUCAUGAAGACAGUGCCAUGAUUCUUCUUAAUAUAGAACUCUUCAACUUAGAGGUGCAGUAAUUUCCAUAGGUUGCUCAGGAAGAGACCAUCCACAUUAUGGACAGAGGUAGGCAUGGGGUCAUUCCCUCCUCUUGAGAAAGGGCACUUCUCACCUCGGGGUGCCUUUAUCAUGCAUAGACUAACUGCACCCACAGGCUUCUACCACCAUGUCAGGUAUGUCAGUCUUGACGAUGUUGCUGUCCCUGUCAUAGUAGAGUAGAGACAGAGGCCGUUGGACUGUGGGCACACAGCAAGAGCCUCCUCCAGCAGUACCACCAGCUGUGUUGGCUUUGAGAAGAUUGAGUACUGCAGUGUGAAAGGAGGCAGCAAUGCCGGCAUGCCUGCCACAUGUAGUGGGCACUGCCCUGUGCAGAAGUUCAUUGCAUAGCCUUCAGGUUGGAUGAUCCAGUCUUGCCAGCCAAUCUCACGGAAGUCGACAAAGAACUCUUGUCGACAGCACAUCCUGGAUACUCCCUGGCAGUCAAUGCCUCGUCGGUGAACCUGGUGCUUACCCCCUACUCUUACUUGGGCUGCCACAAAAGGCCUAUGGGCAGUGUCACCCAUGAUGACUAAGCUGUGGGCUACCUGGCCUUCAGGUACCAGCUCCAAGGUAAGGUGCCCCUGGCUACAGGCAGCCUGAGCUUCAGGCCCUAGGGUGAGCUGGUGCCAGCCACUGGCAUCCACCCCAGCAGGUGCUGGCUAGCUAUGGUGAGGUUGGUAUCAUGGGGGCUUAGUGCAAAGACCUUUACAUUCAUACUCUGGGUGCUAUUGGGAGGGAGCUGCACGAAGAAUAGGAAGCUGGCGUGUUGGAUCUCCACACCACCAGCAGUCUCAUCAGAGGAGAAGUAGAAAUCAAGUCGUGUCUGGUUGACGUUGGAGAAGCCUGUGGACACAAGAAGCCCCUGUUAUUGUGGUCUUUUAAGUGUCAAUUCUACCACUACUUUUUUUUUUUUGUGGUACUGUUGAUUGAACCCAGGGCUUCAUGCCAAGCUACAUCCCUCGCCUCCCUAUCCCCUUCUUGUGCUAGGGACUGAACUCAGGGCCUUCACACUGAGUUUACAGCUCCACCUCCUGC